GACGAACGCUGGCGGCGUGCCUAAUACAUGCAAGUCGAGCGGAAGGAUGGGAGCUUGAUAACAGAAAAUAAGCGGCGGACGGGUGAGUAACCCGUGGGCAAAAUGACUGUAAGACUGGGAUAACUCCGGGAAACCGGGGCUAAUACCGGAUGACUCUGUCCCUCGCAUGAGUGAAAGCUGAAAGAUGGCAUCUCGCGAUCACUUACCGAUGGGCCAGCGGCGCAUUAGCUAGUUGGUGAGGUAACGGCUCACCAAGGCGACGAUGCGUAGCGGACCUGAGAGGUUGACUGGCCACACUGGGACUGAGACACGGCCCAGACUCCUACGGGAGGCAGCAGUAGGGAAUCUUCCGCAAUGUACGAAAGUCUGACGGAGCAACGCCGCGUGAGUGAUGAAGGUUUUCGGAUCGUAAAACUCUGUUGUUAGGGAAGCACAAGUACCGGAGUAACUGCCGGUCCCUUGACGGUACCUGACCAGAAAGCCACGGCUAACUACGUG
rnacentral:rRNA from 1 species